GAUGAACGCUGGCGGCGUGCUUAACACAUGCAAGUCGAACGGAAAGGCCAGUGCUUGCACUGGUACUCGAGUGGCGAACGGGUGAGUAACACGUGGGUGAUCUGCCCUGCACUUCGGGAUAAGCCUGGGAAACUGGGUCUAAUACCGGAUAGGACAAUGGUUUGGAUGCCGUUGUGGAAAGUUUUUUCGGUGUGGGAUAAGCUCGCGGCCUAUCAGCUUGUUGGUGGGGUAAUGGCCUACCAAGGCGUCGACGGGUAGCCGGCCUGAGAGGGUGUACGGCCACAUUGGGACGGAGAUACGGCCCAGACUCCUACGGGAGGCAGCAGUGGGGAAUAUUGCACAAUGGGCGCAAGCCUGAUGCAGCGACGCCGCGUGGGGGAUGACGGCCUUCGGGUUGUAUACUCCUUUCGCUAGGGACGAAGCGUAUUUGUGACGGUACCUGGAGAAGAAGCACCGGCUAACUACGUG
rnacentral:rRNA from 1 species